AUUGAACGCUGGCGGCAUGCUUUACACAUGCAAGUCGAACGGUAACAGGUUAAGCUGACGAGUGGCGAACGGGUGAGUAAUGCAUCGGAACGUGCCCAGUCGUGGGGGAUAACGCAGCGAAAGCUGUGCUAAUACCGCAUACGAUCUAUGGAUGAAAGCGGGGGACCGAAAGGCCUCGCGCGAUUGGAGCGGCCGAUGUCAGAUUAGGUAGUUGGUGGGGUAAAGGCUCACCAAGCCGACGAUCUGUAGCUGGUCUGAGAGGAUGGCCAGCCACACGGGGACUGAGACACGGCCCAGACUUCUACGGAAGGCAGCAGUGGGGAAUUUUGGACAAUGGGCGCAAGCCUGAUCCAGCAAUGCCGCGUGCAGGAAGAAGGCCUUCGGGUUGUAAACUGCUUUUGUACGGAACGAAACGGCUCUGGUUAAUACCUGGGGCUAAUGACGGUACCGUAAGAAUAAGCACCGGCUAACUACGUGCCAGCCGCCGCCGUAACAC
rnacentral:rRNA from 1 species